UCCCCGUUAUCCGGGGCGGUUUCACUAGAGUGCUCGGCAUUACCUGAUGGCAACUAGUGAUGGGGGUUGCGCUCGUUGCGGGACUUAACCCAACAUCUCACGGCACGAGCUGACGACAGCCGUGCAGCACCUGCACAGGCUCCCUUGCGGGUCCCUUGGCUUUCGCCUCAGUACCACCUGCAUGUCAAGUCCGGGUAAGGUUCUUCGCGUUGCAUCGAAUUAAACCACACGCUCCGCUGCUUGUGCGGGCCCCCGUCAAUUCCUUUGAGUUUUAGCCUUGCGGCCGUACUCCCCAGGCGGGGUGCUUAAUGCGUUAGCUUCGGCGCGGACGGAGUCGACACCGCCCACACCUAGCACCCAUCGUUUACGGCGUGGACUAC
rnacentral:misc_RNA from 1 species